CCUACGGGGGGCUGCAGUAAGGAAUAUUGGUCAAUGGACGCAAGUCUGAACCAGCCAUGCCGCGUGAAGGAUGACGGCCCUCUGGGUUGUAAACUUCUUUUAUCUGGGACGAAAAAAGGGCUUUCUAGCUCGACUGACGGUACCAGAGGAAUAAGCACCGGCUAACUCCGUGCCAGCAGCCGCGGUAAUACGGAGGGUGCAAGCGUUAUCCGGAUUUACUGGGUUUAAAGGGUGCGUAGGUGGGUCUGUAAGUCAGUGGUGAAAUCUCCGAGCUUAACUCGGAAACUGCCAUUGAUACUAUAGAUCUUGAAUUAUCUGGAGGUAAGCGGAAUAUGUCAUGUAGCGGUGAAAUGCUUAGAUAUGACAUAGAACACCAAUUGCGAAGGCAGCUUACUACGGAUCGAUUGACACUGAGGCACGAAAGCGUGGGGAUCAAACAGGAUUAGAUACCCCAGUAGUC
rnacentral:rRNA from 1 species